UCUCCGUAGGUGAACCUGCGGAGGGAUCAUUACUGAGUGAGGGCUCACGCCCGACCUCCAACCCUUUGUGAACCAACACUGUUGCUUCGGGGGCGACCCUGCCUUUCGGGCAGUGCGCCCCCGGAGGAUAUCAAAACGCUGCAUCUUUGCGUCGGAGUUUAAGUAAAUUAAACAAAACUUUCAACAACGGAUCUCUUGGUUCUGGCAUCGAUGAAGAACGCAGC
rnacentral:misc_RNA from 1 species